ACGCCGGGCACGUAGCACGCGCUCUCCCGUGCUGAAGGGGCAGGGAAGAAGAUGGGGGGGGGGGCAUCCAGCUGUGCAGCUGACGUCACUGCCAGUCAGAGGCACCGCUCCGCUCCGUGACUCUUGUCCAGAUGUGCUGAGGAUCCGCUGCUGCCUGGUUCAGCGGCUGGUUUGAUGGGAUGAGGAGACGGAUCUGCCUGAUCACAGAUUUCCCUCGUGUCCUGCUCCAUGAACGUCUAACAACAUCUAACAACACAACAACCCUGCGUCAGCUGUGAAAUCACACAUAUAUCGUGGUUUCAGUCGCACUAGAGGAGAAGAGGCAGCUUUGACUUAUGAGUGGGGGCUUUUUUAACCCUCCUCUGCAUCAGUUUGUGCGUGUGUGUGUGUGUGUGUGCGCGUGCGUGCGUGUGUGUGUGUGUGCGUGCGUGCGUGCGUGCGUGUGUGUGUCUCUGCAUCUGUACAGGUCACUUUUAGGAAGCGUUUGGAGGCUGCAGCCUGUUUUUGAUCCCUCUGAUCCUUCAAAGUGCUUUGGUUGAUUAAAAGUCGCAUGUUAUUUUUUUACAUUAGUGCCACCUGUGCUGUAACUAACAUGAGUCCAGCAUAAAAAAGAGUUACUUUGCGCCAAUAUUGUAAAAUCCGACACGAGCAGAGAUAAAUCUGGGUCGGGUUUUAUUUCCGAGCCAGGAUCCAAAACAUCAAACAUCCACCCUCUGUCCCACGAGGCUGGACGUUGUGUUGAUCAGGUUGUUUAUGAACCCUGACAGCUUCAGACACGUCUCCCUCACCAAUCCCACUCUCCCCACUGACACGUGUGCUUAAUUGUUCCUGGCAGGAAGUUGGUCGACCUGAAGCUGUGGUUUCACUUCUCUGCUGCUCUGAAGCGCCGGCUUCUUCAUGUGUUCCUAACUGGUUGAGUCAUCGGCCCAGAUGUGAGAAGCCUCGGCCCUUACGUAACUCCAGCCUCGCGUAAUUAAGGGUUAUCAACACAAAUGCUGCAGCUGCUGAGGUACAUGUUUUAGAACAAACUGAGAAUCAGCACAAAUUAAAUGCCAUGAACAUUAUGUCUUGUCUGCAAAUGAGUACGACACGAGGAAGAGGAAGGAGCUUGAUGAGAGGAAGACGAUAUCUGAGGAACGUUAGAGCGGACGGAACGAGUGGAGUCGGUUCUGUCACCUCCUCCACCAGUGGCGUUUGAUGGCUGCUGAUGAAUGAGCGCUGCGAGGAGCGGACGGGUUCCGUGAGUCGGCCCAAAAGAUGAUAUCGCGUUUACGUCCCAUAAUCAGCCGCACGAAUGAGGAAAACAGGCUUCAUAUUCAUCAAUCCCAUGAAGUGGUGUUUGAGCUCAGACCUGCAGGAUCAUUUGACAGCUGUUGAACAUCUGGACUCACUCUGACUCUUUGGAGUCGGAGCCGUCCUGGUAAUAAAUGACAGACGGGCUGUGAACAAGCAGACUCUGGUCCCGGGCUCCUUCUUUGAUCUGAACCAUCGCAUCACACAGUCCACAUGUUCAUCCCCUUUGUGAGCGUUCACGCUCACGAUUGGCAGUAAAAAGAUCACAAACGGCGGCUGGGUUUAUUACAAGGCGACCAGAGGCUGAAUGAAGCCAGCGCCUGGUACUGAUCCAUAACCGCCUGGGUUCGAUCGCUGGACCGUCCUGUGGGCUCCUGCUCUCACAUCCACAGCUCACUGUGGGGCCCAAUGCAUCAGAACCUUCAGCCCCACGUGUUUGACCUUUGCCCUCUGAGUGAGUGAGUCACGACGGGGCGCUCAGAUUCAGGUGAGACCAUGCGUUGACCUUUGCUCCCAGGUGAACGACUGCUUGAAGCUCCGCGAGGGUGUGAUUUAUGCUGCCUCGUCUUCCUCGUUGGUGUCUGGGCCACUUCAUUAUUCAGUUUGUGACGCGAGGUGAAAACAUGCGAACCUUUGCAUGUUUGUGCAUUUGUAAUGUGAUGAACGUAUUGAUUAUUAGAUGACUUCAGCGCCGCAGAUCAGUGACUGACAGCCGGCGGCCGAAGCGGCGUCCUUGGACGAGACGCUGGACGUGUGUUAAUCUGCAGACGUUCUACACACACACACACACACACACACGCACGCACGCGCACACACACACACACACACACACACACGCACGCACGCGCACACACACACACGCACGCGCACACACACACACACACACACACGCACGCGCACACACACACACACACACACACACACACACACACACACAAUCCUUGGGGACAUAUGUGCUGAAGCCCGAGCUGCAAUGUAUCACAAUCUCACUAUAUAAACAUCUCGUCCCACACAAAUUAUGCAGCAUCCCCUUGAGCCAAAGACCAACCAGAUCCAUCAUCCUGUUCCCAGUUUUAUUCAAAUCAGACGGAGGAUGAGCGAGCGCGGCUCUUAAUCAGGCUGAAAUGGAAAACCUGAAGACGCCGCAACGCUGUGAUUUCCCGGGUUUAACGGCAUCGGACCAGCGGUGUCAGCGGCAGCAGGUCAAACACCAAUCUGCCUCAGACGCCUCUUUCUCUUCAUAUUAUUCUCUUCAUGCCGUCCCUCUUUAUUCUGGCCUUUCCACGUUAAUGCAUUAAUCAGACUUCCUGUGACUCGGUUUCAUCCUCACUGCUUUUAUGCAAACAGAGAUCUGAGGAAUAGUGCAGGAUUAAGGGACGGCAGCGACCUCGUUAAUCUUUCUUGCUUUUCUAUCGUUGCGGUUUCUAGACCAGAAUGGUUUUUUUUAUGUUUUAAGGGUACGAAUGCUGUAAAUAUGUCGUGUUCUGUGUCUGUGUGUUUCAGGGGCUUUAAGGCAGGCGUCAGUGAGGACCUGAGCUCCUCCCUGAGCUUCACCGACCGCGUCGUCACCGCCGUCCUCUCCUGCAGGAGCUCAUCCAUCAUUUUGCUUCUUCUCUUUAGGUGCAUCUUAAAUAUGACCGGGACGUGUAACUUCCCAGAAGUGGAGCUGCACUGUUUCAGAUGAGCCCAGUGGAGGUUCGACCCGAGGCGUCGGCUGCUGAAGCAGCGCGCUCUGACCUCCAGCGCCAGCGGCGCCGGUGCCGCUCACGUCCUUCCUCUGUGUGAGCGAGGGGACUGUUCAGACGCCCAAGUCGAGGCUUCGCUGCCUCGUCUCACACUCAGGACCCACGGAGAGCGGCUGAAACUCAAAGCUGCGGAGGAAACUGUGAGGCUGUGAAAACAAGUCAACUGUCUGACACAUGGCAGCGUCGUCACAACCAGAGACUAAACUGAACUCAGUUUGGAGAAUAUUCACACUUUUUUGUCAGGCUGAAAGUUGUGAUGAAGUUCAUCCUGUUUGUUAAAGUCGACCUGUGUUUAGAGGAGCACAGACUUGUUGCUGUGUUUUGCACUAAUGUGAUUUUUACAUGAACCAACCCACUGAAGUGGCUGAAGCAGUGCGACUGUGCCUGACCUGUGCAGCAGGAUGCAGCCUCAGCAAAGUGUCCCUGGAUGAAGAGAGGUUUUAAGAGGACAGGAUGUGUGUCAGGGAGAUGGAUGGCAGCGUUAGGUGAGUGGGACACGGAGACGGUUGGGAGUGCACCUUAUUGACUGCGCUGCAAAUAGACAGCUGGAGAAAUGAACUGGACCCGGCCGCUAUUGAAUAGAGCUCAGUGGUCUGCAUCACUACUGGGGAUUAACACAUGCACACACACACACACACAUAGACACACACACACGCACACACACACAGACAUGCACACACACACACAUACACACACACACAUACACACACACAUGCACGCGUACAUAGACACACACACAUGCACGCGCACAUAGACACACACACACACACACACACACAUGCACACACACACACACACACACAUGCAGUUAAAUGUUUACCCAACUGUCUGUGUUCUCGACUCUAAUUGAUGAGAAGACAAUUAGAGUUUGAUAUUAUACAUUAGUGUGUGACAGUGUCGUUUAACAUGGUUUGGCUUCGGCUGUGUUUGAGCUGUGAGCUUGUUCUGAACAUGAUGCUGCCGAUAAACAUGAACGUCCUGCGAUGAUGUUGAUGCUGAUGCUGUUCACCUCAACAACAACAUGAAAGUGUGAGGUGGGAAUCCUGAAUCGGGAGCAAAUGACGAGCAGCUCAGUUUGUUUGAGGGGUUUCACUUUUACAUUCUGUUCAAAGGAGCUGAGCCUUAAAACCCUGUAAAAACCCAUUGAGGCUUCGAGCCUCGUUCCCCGAUGAAAAAUGCUGAAGAUACAGAUCCAAAGCAGAGCCCAGAGUCUAACACACAGUCGACUACAGAUCACUCCAUUCCCUGCUCACCGGCCUGAAAUCCCCCUCACACAACAGCAGCACAGAUAAUUCUCUUAUUUUGCCCGAUUUGUGUCUGAAAGAUCUAGAGACGAUGUGAGCGGUCGCGCUGGGGAAAGUAAGUGGGAGGCACUCAAGUGUUUUCACAAAACUCUUAACUCAGCGAGAGGUUCAGGCAGUGAGUCAAGAGGAGGGAGUCGUUCGGCCUCCAGACGAAGCGAUGCUGCGAAGCAAGCGGCUGGAGCAGAUGAGACGACCUGGACCCAAACAGUCCUGCAGUGAAGAGCUUUGGAGGUGGAGGUUGUGUCUGACGGGAGCAAACACAGGAGCAACACAGGCUCCGCUCCCAUUCAUAUGCAGCCGAAACAGGCGCCGUGUCAAGAAAUGAGCAAAAACCUGGUCACAACCUCCAGUAAGACCUUGUUAUUUCAGCACCAAUCGGCGUGAAAUGAGAGAAACCGUUUGAGCCCAAACGCAGCCUGAGGUUGUCGGAGUCGUCAAGCGUCAACACACGUUCAUGAGGUAAAUUAAAAACGCUGUCUCGUCAUUAAUGCUGAGGAACCGAUGAACGGAAGCUCUGCGACCCUCGAUUCAGUGGUUUGUGAAAAUACACAACUCAGGUUUAACUGAGUUGGAGAAUAAUCCUCCAGCUGCUUGGUUCCCACAGGUGAUGAUGAUGAUGAUGAUGAUGAUGAUGAUGAUGAUGAUGAUGAUGAUGAUGAUGAUGAUGAUGAUGAUGAUGAUGACGAUGACGAUGAUGAUGAUGAUGAUGAUAGCAGAAGCAUUAGACACAGUUUAACCCACAAAGCGUCGAGCCCAGUGGCGGAGCCGCGGCGCUAGCGUUCACGGUGGCUAACGGUAAAACAGGCAUCAGGUUCAAGUCGUUUGUUCUGACGUGUGACGUGCGCUCAUGAACUCCCUCCGCCGGCUUCACGCUGCUCAUUAGUUUGAAUAUCUCUCCACUUAGAGGAAAAGGCGAAUGCGCUGUGGGCUCAGAUCAAUAUGAGCUUCCCUUUAAUGUCCCAAACAGCAAGAUGGCGAAGGCAAAGUGAUAGAACAGCCUCGUCCUUAAUCGUCCAGCAAUCGAUGCAUUAUCCUGAUUGUGUUUUGUCUUUCAUGCUCUGAGUGAAAUCAUUAAGCUUCUGAAGCAAUUUAACAGGGUGACAGUAACAAAGGACUCGUGCUGCAGACGCCCAACACUCGAUCCAUCACACGGUUCUCCUCAUCGCGUCGCAUGAUCCGAGUGCAGCCCGGUCACGUCCCACAUGAUAAUGAGAGCCUGCGAUUAUUAAUCCAACUGGUGUUUGAGAUCUUUUCAAGGACAAGCUGAUCAUUUUUUCAUUCGUGGAAGUGGAAGUGUUUCAGAGUCUUCUGGUGUUUUAAGCUGCUGGUUCCGUCAGCGCCAUGCGUUCACAACCACGGCUCCACAAGGAGGAACCGCUUUGUACAUAAUGAGGGUGAGCCCCUGCGCCUCCUCAGCUGAAGUGACUGAGUGAGGCUCAUGUGACUGUGGACCGUGGGUUCAAGGCUCCUCGCGGUCCGUGAACCUGCUGCUGUGAGUGGCGGCUGCCAGACGCCAUUGAUGCAUGAUAAUUGGCUCGUGUGUUCGCUCCAGAGGUGCCUCGCUCCCCUGAGCUGUCAUUUGCCUCCCGACGACUCCGUGUGACACCUAUUUUGUGAACAGCGUGAUCAUUACUGAGCAAACAAACAGGCGCCCGUUAGGACGUGUUAAUCACAUGCAGCCGGUGCUGUUUUUCCGUUUUCGGUUUUAUUCAGCAGUCGGAGCGACGGUCGAGCGGCAGAUCAGCGGAGGCGCCGCUGCUUUGGCAGGAAACACACGCAUUUCUAUUCGCUUCUUAAACUUGUUUUCCCCUUUGGUUUCCAUCGGUGCAUCAGUCUAAUUCACUUACUGGCUGCUCCAUUAUCCGAUCAGGGAGGGGCAGAGGCUGGUGGUCACUCACCUCCUGACUGAGGACUGGGAGUUUCCCCUCGUGGUGCGUGGUGGGAAGUGACGUGCGGUCAGGGAGGCGUGGCCUCACCAGACAGAGGAUCCAGGGAGGCGUGGCCUCACCUGACAGUAGCAAAAAAAAUAAAAAUUCACUUCUGUCCAUUGAUCUGUGUUAUACAGGUUACAAUUAUUUUCUAUAAUUUCAAUUAUCUUAACAUUUUUUGGAGUAAAAAUCGCUGAAUCUGUGGAUUUCCUGACCUAAUAUGGAAACCGGAAGUGAGGCGUCAGCGAGGGGAGCCUCAGCCCGAUGCUGAAACUGUCAGUAAAUGGGCUGAUACAAGGCGUAAUCCCUUCUGUUUCACAUUUUGUCUCCAGUAUAAUAAUGUUGGCAGCCAUCAGACAAAUUUAUUCUACACCAUGACUUUGUACAACCUGCCUAAUGUGUUUAUCGAUAUUUUUGUGACAUAAUCACUUUUGUGAUCGCGCUGAAACCGAGAGAAAACUCGUGGGGAGAGGCUGGACAGGUCUGUGCCUCAUCCAGAAGGGGGCACUGCUUCCACCCUUUAACGCAGGGUGUCCCCACAAAUGGGUUUUACUUUUAUAAAAAGACUUACUGAAUGACACUAAGUGAAACAAUUCAAGUGCUUGAGUAGUGAAUUUGAACCUUGAGUGAAGUAUUCUAUUCCUAAUGAAGAGCAAACCUGUAAAACUGAUUAAGGCAGGAAUUUAAGUUUUUAAACACAAAAUAGAACUUGACCGACUGUCAAAAUUGAACAUUUACACCUCUCUAUACUUUAGAAUGAAUUGUUGAAAAUACAUGGAGGCUACAGGUCAGGUGUCUUACUGCUAUAAAAGAUAUGUUCCUUCGAGACCUAAUAUUUUCCUUUAGGGGAGAUAAGAAUGAUGAUAAAAUGGGGAAUAUAGUAAUGCCAGUAUUAAUAUGCAU